rnacentral:rRNA from 1 species
UACGUAGGGGGCAAGCGUUGCCCGGAAUCAUUGGGCGUAAAGCGCGUGUAGGCGGCUUGGCAAGUCCGCUGUGAAAAUCCAGGGCUUAACCCUGGACCUGCAGUGGGUACGGGCAGACUAGAGUGCGGUAGGGGAGAUCGGAAUUCCUGGUGUAGCGGUGAAAUGCGCAGAUAUCAGGAGGAACACCGGUGGCGAAGGCGGGACUCUGGGCCGAUACUGACGCUGAGGAGCGAAAGCUAGGGGAGCAAACGGG